rnacentral:rRNA from 1 species
CAGUCGCCGCGGUAAUACGGAGGGGGCUAGCGUUGUUCGGAAUUACUGGGCGUAAAGCGCACGUAGGCGGCUUUGUAAGUUAGAGGUGAAAGCCUGGAGCUCAACUCCAGAAUUGCCUUUAAGACUGCAUCGCUUGAAUCGCGGAGAGGUGAGUGGAAUUCCGAGUGUAGAGGUGAAAUUCGUAGAUAUUCGGAAGAACACCAGUGGCGAAGGCGGCUCACUGGACGCGUAUUGACGCUGAGGUGCGAAAGCGUGGGGAGCAAACAGGAUUAGAUACCCCCGUAGUCCCUGUCUCUUAUAC